UGCAGUCGAACGGCAGCACAGUAAGAGCUUGCUCUUAUGGGUGGCGAGUGGCGGACGGGUGAGGAAUACAUCGGAAUCUACUCUUUCGUGGGGGAUAACGUAGGGAAACUUACGCUAAUACCGCAUACGACCUACGGGUGAAAGCGGAGGACCUUCGGGCUUCGCGCGGUUGAAUGAGCCGAUGUCGGAUUAGCUAGUUGGCGGGGUAAAGGCCCACCAAGGCGACGAUCCGUAGCUGGUCUGAGAGGAUGAUCAGCCACACUGGAACUGAGACACGGUCCAGACUCCUACGGGAGGCAGCAGUGGGGAAUAUUGGACAAUGGGCGCAAGCCUGAUCCAGCCAUGCCGCGUGGGUGAAGAAGGCCUUCGGGUUGUAAAGCCCUUUUGUUGGGAAAGAAAAGCAGUCGGUUAAUACCCGAUUGUUCUGACGGUACCCAAAGAAUAAGCACCGGCUAACUUCGUGCCAGCAGCCGCGGUAAUACGAAGGGUGCAAGCGUUACUCGGAAUUACUGGGCGUAAAGCGUGCGUAGGUGGUGGUUUAAGUCUGUUGUGAAAGCCCUGGGCUCAACCUGGGAAUUGCAGUGGAUACUGGAUCACUAGAGUGUGGUAGAGGGUAGCGGAAUUCCCGGUGUAGCAGUGAAAUGCGUAGAGAUCGGGAGGAACAUCCGUGGCGAAGGCGGCUACCUGGACCAACACUGACACUGAGGCACGAAAGCGUGGGGAGCAAACAGGAUUAGAUACCCUGGUAGUCCACGCCCUAAACGAUGCGAACUGGAUGUUGGGUGCAAUUUGGCACGCAGUAUCGAAGCUAACGCGUUAAGUUCGCCGCCUGGGGAGUACGGUCGCAAGACUGAAACUCAAAGGAAUUGACGGGGGCCCGCACAAGCGGUGGAGUAUGUGGUUUAAUUCGAUGCAACGCGAAGAACCUUACCUGGUCUUGACAUCCACGGAACUUUCCAGAGAUGGAUUGGUGCCUUCGGGAACCGUGAGACAGGUGCUGCAUGGCUGUCGUCAGCUCCUGUCCUGAGAAGUUGGGGUUAAUUCCCGCAACGAGCGCAACCCUUGUUCUUAUUUGCCACCACCUAAU
rnacentral:rRNA from 1 species